GUACCUACAUAUUGCCCUGGUGGGCAUUACAGUAGGGUGGACGAGGCAAAGCAAAGGAACACUUGACAUUAUUGUUCUGUCGAGGAUAAUACCACUUGCAUGGACAACAGCUGGUGUUGCUCUGACGAAGACAAGUCCAGUUGCGGCCGUGAGAACGACAAGCUACUCGUAUGGAAACAGUUGUUGCCCUGAUGAAGGCAAGACCACCUACCCGAGCAACAACUCCAGUUGGCACGAUUUCGUAGCGAUGCCUUCCGCUCGAUUGUAUACCACUUUUAUCAUCCACCGUUCCCCUGGCCGACUUACCUCAUUGUUAACGCGGGCGGAGAGUCUCUCUGAUCCCCGACGAAGUGCGAAGAAGAAUAACAUGCAAAGCGGCAUCGCUACUAAAUCGCUGCCCAGAAACAGCUGCAGCCCUGAGGGAGUCCAGUUCGCUCGCCAGACAGUUGAUUCCUUUGUUCGACCACUGCUGGUCACGUUGUAUGCACCUGUUCCUACAUUCGUUAUGCGGAUUCUGGAGUCAAGCCUACAACCUGUAGGAACCUGCUACACUGCUACAUACUGGAUCGCACCAUGAUGCACUUGACCUGCAUGCUUUUACAAGGUGCCCUGUGAGUUCUCAUCCAAGCACCGCAUUCCAGAGGUCUGCUGUGAGCAGACGUGGCAAAUUGAAGUAACAUGCAGAUAGUCCAAUAAACUACUCGUAAUUUCAGAC